rnacentral:rRNA from 1 species
GAUGAACGCUGGCGGCGUGCUUAACACAUGCAAGUCGAACGGUGAAGCAGAGCUUGCUCUGUGGAUCAGUGGCGAACGGGUGAGUAACACGUGAGCAACCUGCCCCUGACUCUGGGAUAAGCGCUGGAAACGGCGUCUAAUACGGGAUAUGAGCUGCGACCGCAUGGUCAGCAGUUGGAAAGAUUUUUCGGUCUGGGAUGGGCUCACGGCCUAUCAGCUUGUUGGUGAGGUAAUGGCUCACCAAGGCGUCGACGGGUAGCCGGCCUGAGAGGGUGACCGGCCACACUGGGACUGAGACACGGCCCAGACUCCUACGGGAGGCAGCAGUGGGGAAUAUUGCACAAUGGGCGAAAGCCUGAUGCAGCAACGCCGCGUGAGGGAUGACGGCCUUCGGGUUGUAAACCUCUUUUAGCAGGGAAGAAGCGAAAGUGACGGUACCUGCAGAAAAAGCGCCGGCUAACUACGUG